rnacentral:lncRNA from 1 species
CUCAAUACUAAGCAUUUUGUUCAAGAUGAGAAUAAAGAGCAAGAGAGCCAGGACUAUGUCAUACCAUUGAUUAAUAAGCCUGAUGCUAAGUGGAUUUUGUUACUACGGACCAUGGAUAUCACACUGAAGUGAACACUACUACUGAAUAACCAGUGUUCACCAGCAAGACAACGGGAGAAAUCUCUGCACUAUGAACCUUCUUUUCCACUCAUGUUUUAUGGAGCAGCUCGUGCAAAGAUGACCAGCCAAACAGUGGUGUAUUUGGUGACGUGAAUCAAGAGAAAUUAAGGAAAAAAAUCAUUGUAAGACUUUGGUGAGCCUUAACUUACUGGAGAC